rnacentral:lncRNA from 1 species
CAAAUUAAUUUGGUGCAAGAACAGAAAGUGAAGUAUCACAGCCGCCUUGAACUGUGAAUCCUUCAACCUCCAUGUUUUGACCUAAUAGCAAGAAUAAUCACCUAUAAAUGAUGGUAAGGGGCAAAAUACACAUCUCUCCCAGGAGCUCAGUGAAGAAAUUUCCAGUAAGUCAUGGAUCCUUUUGUCUUUAGACAGAUAGACCCGUGAUCAUCACUGGGGCCUGAUGAGUCAACGGCGCCUCCAAUAGCUCCUCCAUCAGAUGUGUACAACGUACUGGAGACAGAAGGCUUGUUGGGUCCCUGAGCCCUCCUGGCUCAUAGUCUCGCUCCACAGCCAACAACGACAUGGACCCACCCUUUCUUCCUGAGCCAGGCGGUUGGAAUCACGUUGCAACUGAGCUACUGGCUGGUCAUCUUGCAGAAAGUCCAUAUCCAAAUGCUGGACCGGGUGUGUCACAUUCCGCCAGCAUCUUUCGGUUCAAGUACUCUCAGAAGUGCCCGCUGAAGAACAGGAGCCUUCUCUCCGGGGAGCCUGAAUUGUGUGGCUCGGGUUCUGUUCUUGGGGAGACCAUCUUCCGCUUGUUCUUUUCUCUUCUCUUGGGCCCCUCUUUUUCCUCCCCACCCCUCUCCCCCUUUCACCAAACAGAUGUAACUAUUUAUUCCUUAUGUCCUAGUUUUCCUGUAAUUUCAUAAAGUGCAAAUUUGCUG